UACGGAGGGUGCAAGCGUUGUUCGGAAUUAUUGGGCGUAAAGGGCAGGUAGGUGGUCUAUCAAGUCUACUGUGAAAUCCCUGAGCUUAACUCAGGAAGUGCGGUGGAUACUGACAGACUAGAGUGCCGGAAGGGUGCGUAGAAUUCUCGGUGUAGCGGUGAAAUGCGUAGAUAUCGAGAGGAAUACCAGAGGCGAAGGCGGCGCACUGGACGGCAACUGACACUCAACUGCGAAAGCGUGGGGAGCAAACAGG
rnacentral:rRNA from 1 species